rnacentral:rRNA from 1 species
GAUGAACGCUAGCGGCGUGCCUUAUGCAUGCAAGUCGAACGACCCCGAUUUAUCGGGGUAGUGGCGAACGGGUGAGUAACGCGUAAGUAAUCUGCCCCUAAAUAGGGGAUAACUCUGAGAAAUUAGAGCUAAUACCGUAGUGGUGGUGGAGGUAAUGCUCCAUCACUAAAGCCUUUUUGGUGUUUAGGGAGGAGCUUGCGUCCGAUUAGCUAGUUGGUAGAGUAAUGGUUUACCAAGGCGAUGAUCGGUAGCUGGUUUGAGAGGACGGUCAGCCACAUUGGGACUGAGAUACGGCCCAGACUCCUACGGGAGGCAGCAGCAAGGAAUUUUGUGCAAUGGGCGAAAGCCUGACACAGCGACGCCGCGUGGGGGAUGAAUGCCUUCGGGUUGUAAACCCCCUUUCUCAGGGAAGAAAAAUGACGGUACCUGAGGAAUAAGUCUCGGCUAACUACGUGCCAGCAGCCGCGGUAAUACGUAGGAGGCGAGCGUUAUCCGGAUUUACUGGGCGUAAAGAGGGCGUAGGCGGUUUUUCAAGUCGGAUGUAAAAGUUCUCAGCUUAACUGAGAAAAGUCAUUCGAUACUGUUAAGCUAGAGGGCAGCAGAGGGAGGCGGAAUUCCCGGUGUAGUGGUGAAAUGCGUAGAUAUCGGGAGGAACACCAGUGGCGAAGGCGGCCUUCUGGGCUGUUUCUGACGCUGAAGCCCGAAAGCGUGGGGAGCAAACAGGAUUAGAUACCCUGGUAGUCCACGCCGUAAACGAUGGACACUAGUUAUGGGGAGUAUCGACCCUCUCCGUGACGGAGCUAACGCAUUAAGUGUCCCGCCUGGGGAGACGGUCGCAAGGCU